AAUGAACGUUGGCGGCAUGGAUUAGGCAUGCAAGUCGGGGGAAUCCCAGCAAUGGGGGAACCGGCGUAAGGGGCAGUAAGGCAUGGGUACCUACCUUGGGGUUCGGGAUAGCCAUCAGAGAUGGUGGGUAAUACCGGAUGACGUCGUGCGACCAAAGAUUUAUCGCCCUUAGAGGGGCCCAUGUGAUAUUAGCUAGUUGGUGGGGUAACGGCCCACCAAGGCGAAGAUGUCUAGCGGGUGUGAGAGCACGACCCGCGCCACUCGCACUGAGACACUGGCGAGACACCUACGGGUGGCUGCAGUCGAGGAUCUUCGGCAAUGAGCGCAAGCUUGACCGAGCGAUGCCGCGUGAGCGAUGAAGGCCUUCGGGUUGUAAAGCUCUUUAGUGGGGGAGAGAGCCGCGAGGUGUGAUCUAUCCCAAAAAUAAGCACGGGCUAAGUUCGUGCCAGCCGCCGCGGUAA
rnacentral:rRNA from 1 species